rnacentral:lncRNA from 1 species
ACACGCCUUUCUCUUUGAUUAAACAUAACCCGAAUUGCAAUCAUUCAGAAAGGGAAAGAAGAAAAUCAGUUUCUUUUCCUGAAAUUUCCCUCAUCGAAAUCGAAACCCUAAAUAUGCCAAAGCGAAUAAAUUGACAAUCGGUAACCCGAUCCCGAAAUCAAGGUCCUUUCCAUCGUUGUUGUCUAUGCAAAGGGCCCAACCCAAGCGGUGAAGAAUCACACCCAUUCCGAAGGACGGACAAUACGAAGGUAAAUCUCAAACUUUUUCUUUUCUUUCCUUUUUUAUUUUGGUACGAAGAGUUCAUAGACGUAAUAGAUAAACUUAGUUUCCUGUUUCUGAAAAUUUUGUAGUUGCUUCAAUGAGUAUUUCUUGUUAGUCAUUUCCCACUAAGAUGUCUGUUAAAUGGCCGCAGUUUCUUGUUCUAUAUUUAUUUUUUGUUUUUCUGUCAUCAAUCAUAUGUAUCGUCCUGAAUCAUAUGUUUUUUGAUUUAGUUCCAGUUUACCUCGCCUUUUUUCUGCCAUUAUUAUUUCUGGGUUGAAAGAGAUACAUUGAAUGAAUUUCUUGCAUUUACAGUAUAGUAAUAUCAGUUAAGUUGUUACAGCAUCUAUCUAAUAUACAGUGUUAAAGCUUGAACUUCAUACACUAGCUGAAUGUUGUUUAAUUGUAUGACAGAUUGUGAGGAAGAUCUGAACUUCAUAGAAUUCACUGUUGGCUGAAUUGAUGACCAAAAUGGAUAAAGCCACUUUACUUAACAAUUAAGGCCGUCAACUCUCUACAAAUUUCGGCUGUCAAGUGUGGCUGGAAAAGGGAAAUCCAAUUUGCCCACCUCUUUGCAUUGAAUGCAUGCAUGUACUAAAGUGGCAACCUUAACUGUUAAGUAAAGUGGUUUUAUCCAUUUUGGUCAACAAUUGUGGCUUUAUCGACCAACAUUUCUCCCACGUAAAGUCACUUUUGUUGACCACUUCAUCCUUCCGAUACUUGCCAUUUCAAUGCUACUUACGUUUCUGCUAGGUCGAUGGAUGAUCGAUACCAUAUGAACUUGUCAAUACUAAUUUGGCUUUGUCAACAUAUCUGCUAGGUUGUCUACUUUAUGGAUUUUCUGUAUAUCCACACUUCUUUCUUCCACCUUCUCUCGAACAAAGGGAUAUUGAACUCGAAUGUGCUUUGUCAUUUGAUGAAAUGUUAGACUCUUUGCCAAGUGCAAAGUGCUCCGACUAUCAUAAAUUAGAGUAAUCUUCUCUUGUUUGUGUCCAAGCUCCUCCAUUAACAUGUGCAACCAGAUUGUCUCUUUACUAGCUUAUGUAGCUGUCGCGUAUUCUGCCCUUGUUAUAGAAGUAGACACGAUACACUACAGUUUUGAAACCCAGCUUACAACUCCCCCAACAAGAGUAACAAUAUAACAUGUGGUGGAUUUACUUUUGUCAAGAUCACCUGUAGAAUCUAAAUCAACAUAGACUCUGACAAUAAAGUCCGAUUCUUCGUAACAUAAUGUAGCAUUUGAGGUACUCUUGAUAUAUCGCAGGAUCCUCUUUACAGCACUCCAUGCUCUUUAUCAGGAUUUGCCUUGUAUCGACUAACCGUUCCCACUACUUGUGCAAUGUCCGGUCUUGUACAAAUCAUAGCGAACAUCAAGCUACCCUCUACUGAUGCAUACGGUACUCGAGAUAUCUCCUUCCUCUCUGCUUCAUUGCUAGGACUCAUACUUGAAGACAACUUGAAAUUAAUGAAGUGGGGUAGAAAUUGCUUACAAUCUUACACAUUGAAGCGACACGAGAUUUUCUUCAAGUAAUUCUUCUGACUAAGUCGAAUCUUCCUAUUAUUUCUGUCUCAGUAAAUUUGCAUAUCUAGAAUCUUGUUUGCUGGUCCCAAGUCCUUCAUUUCAAACUCUCUAGUCAACCGUGCCUUCAAAUCUUUAAUACGAUCUUUGUUGGGGCUUGCUACCAACAUGUCGCCAAUGUACAACAGCAGAAUAAUGAAAUUAUUAUCUCCAAAUCUCAUGUAGUAUGCACAUGGAUCUGAUCUAAGUCUAUUUUAUUCAAGGCUCAUGGUAAAGGUAUCAAAUCUCUUAUAUCAACAUCUCGGCACCUAUUUGAGACUGUAUAGAGAUUUGUUCAAUGUGCAAACCAAGUUUUCUUUUCUUUUUUCUUCGAGACAUUUUGGUUGGUGCAUAUAAAUCUCUUCUUCAAGUUUUCCAUGAAGAAAUGCAGUUUUCAUAUCCAAUUGCUCUAGGUGUAAGUCAAAUGUAGCACACAUCGCCAAGGCUACUCGAAUUGUUGUGAGUCGACCCACAUGAGAAAAUAUUUCUUUAAAGUCGAUGCCUUCUUUCUGAGCAUAUCCCUUCAUCACCAGUCUCGCACAAUACUGCUCUACUUAAUCAUUGCCAUCUCGUUUGAUCUUGUAGACCCAUUUAUUCCCAAUGGCCUUCAUUUCUUGUGGUAGUGGAACAAUAUCCCAUGUCUUGUUCUUAUUAAGAGCUUCAAUUUCUUCUUACAUUGCUGUUAUCCACAGAGAGACUUCUUGGCUAUUUAUGGUCUCAUGGAAAGUUGAUGGCUCUCCUUCUUUUAUCAAUAAGUAGUAUGCAACAUUGCCUUCCAUAAUGUAAUUUGAGUGCCAAGCUGGUUCUCUUCUCUCCCGUGUUGAUCAUCGAACUUCUGGAGCACUAGACUUAGCUUGUUCUUGUUCUUCGUGUUCUAGUGUUGCUUCAGAAGAGUCUAUAACUUCUCGUUCGUCUUCAACUUCGACUUUAGUAGAUUUUGAUUUUUCUUUUGAUGUGCUAUCAUUUUCUUUUUCCAUUCCCUGCCUUCUACAAAUAUCACAUCUCAGCUGAUUAUUACCUUGUGGGCAGUGGGAUCCCACAAACGGUACCCCUUGACUCCAUCAACAUACCCUAAGAAUGGAUAAAGGCACAAUUGUUGACCAAAAUGGAUAAAGUCACUUUUCUUAACAAUUAAGGUUGUCACUUUACAAUUAAGGUACAUGCAUGCAUUGAAUGCAAAAGAGGUGGGCAAAUUGAAUUUUCCUUUUCCAGCUAAAAUUUGUAGAGAGUUGACAACCAUUUUUCUUGACUUUUUGAAGUGAACAGCGUAGUGGAAUUUCCUUAUAAAUAGAAGGGUAGGAUGAAGAAACAAAAAAAGCCAUGUAGAAAGGAAAAUUUGAAAGAGAAAAAAUUGAGUAGAGAGAAAAAGUUGUGAGUAGAGAGAAAAAAUUAUAGAGAGAAAUUAUUGUUUUCUCCUGAUUAUUUCCUACUUAUUUUCUCCUAUUACAAGAGAGAUUAAUUAUUAUUAUCUCCUUAUAUUUAGAGUGUGUGUUGUAAUUCUCCUACUAUAGUGAAAUCCACAUAUACUUGCCUGUGGACGUAGUCUAAAUUGGGUGAACUACGUAAAUAUUUGUGUCCAUUUUUAACGGCAUUUUCUUAAUUCUAUUCUUGUUGUAAAGCCUUAUUUGACUGACACUUCUCUAACAUUCACCACGACUUUGAGUCCAACAAAGACGACAUCAAAUAUGAUAGAAACGUAAGUAGUGAAAUUGAAAUUGGAUCGGGCAGCCAUGACAAUGAAGUAUAGGGAAAACAAGAAGAGGGCAAUGAUAACAAGAAGGAUGAAUUGGAACUACUGUCGUCAAAAGAACUACUCUCCCAAUGUUCAUCCGAUGAGGAUGGGAGUUAUCACUAUCUUGAAUUCACUUUUGAUCCGAACAUGAAAAAUCCUCGGUUCGAGGUAGGGUUAUGCAAUUCUAUUUUUUUGAGUUUAUUUUGUCCAUAUUCUCCUUUCUCAAACUGAGGAAGUGGGUGAAGACAGGCAGGGAUAUGUGUUAUUGAAUGAGGAAGCUUAUUCCACAGAGCUAGUUGGUUUUCCAAAAAAUGCGUUGAGGCGCAGCAGUUGACUGGACAUGUAGGGGUAAACCAUUUUUUACUAAUUAUUUGAAAUUUAGUAUCAGUUACAAUUCUAUCUUUAAAAUAUUUCAACUAUUUUGUUCCUUUUUCUGAAUCUAUUCUUCCUUCUUCUUUAUUUAAAAUUACAGAAAGACCCCUAUCAAUAUAUUCAUUUCCGCAACAAAGUUUCGAGAGGCAGUCCAAACGUAUGGUGCGUUGAACGGGUACAAUGUAAAGUUUAAGGCAAACUUGGAAAGAAGAGUGCAAGAAAUUUGUAAACUAGACUGCAAUGGCAAACAUGGGCUUCUAAAUUCGAUGCCCCAAAGAGGUUGCUAGUGAAAUCUUACACUUUAGAUCAUACCUAUAGUGGAGACCAAUUUAAUAAACACUGCAAUUACAUAUUUUUGACACGUCGAUAUAUUGAGCAAUUCAAGGCGAACUAGGAUUGGAAGACCAAGCUUAUUUUGGCACGAUUGAAGAAGGAUCUCUGCACAAAUAUUAGCAGAAAUGUGGCAGGGAAGAUGUGGAGAUAUGUGCAAGAAAAUUUGAUAGAGAUAUCCACGUCCUUUUCUCCGAUUAUUUUAGCAAUGCGCUUCAACAAACCCGAUAACUCAUGAAUUUUCGAUAUAGCGCUUGAUUGACCUUAAAUUGACAUUAUUCAUUUUUCAUCGAGCCACUUGAAAUGAUUGCAAUCGUUCGUACAACAGAAGAAUAGCAUCUCUAACAGCAGUGAUCCUGUCAUUAUAUCCACUGCGCCGUUUCUUCACCUUUCUUUAUUAUACAGAUAUGGCAUUUCUAAGAGCAGUUGCCAUUUAUCUUCUAGUUUUGAAGAAGAAAUAUCUAUUAAGUUCAUUGGUAAGGGAUGACAUGAAUUGCAUCUCAUUUUUUUCUAGUCGGUAAUAUGUUUGAUGGUGUUUAAAGUUUUUUAUGAAAUGAUAUCAUUUGAUUGACAGUUUUUUGAAAAAUAAUUUUUCAGAGUACCAUAUCUUUUACAUCAAGCUCAUUAUUAUCAUUUUAAAAAAUGUAAACUUUGUGCUUUGAAGGUUGUUAAUUAGAAUUUUGUCCCGUUCUUCAAUGUUCUUAUGUUGUUUCAUGAAGUCUUUCUCCUUUACAAUUUUAGAUUGCCAAACAAAAUCAACUGAUGCUUGAGCAAUUUGUUUGCUUGAUGGUGUUACAAAAGGAAAGCCAGGGAGGAACUUUAGUAUCUUUUUCAUUU